UCUGACGUCUCUCAUCUUAUCCGCGAGUGCAGCAGCAGCGCAGCUCUGUCUGCGUCACGACACAAACAGAGACCUGAAAUAACUUAACCUGGCAAGUUGCGUGACAUUCUGUCACUCAUCGGGCGUGAGGUGGGUUUUUAUUAAGCCAACACUUCUAAAUGGCAAGUUCAGGUUCGGAUGCAGGACGGCAUCUUCUUCAGCAGGCUCAUCAUCAUCAUCCCGAACCGGCGCCCGAAGCUGCUGUUCGCGAGGCGCAGAGAUGGAUAGAGAUCACCGUAGCCAUCCGAUCCAGUCCGUAUCCAGAUCAAAUGGUAGUGACCGGCAGGAGUUUUACUGACAGUGACUUCAGAGGUGGACUCGACAACGGCAUCUUACUCUGCGAACUCCUGAACACAAUCAGACCGGGUCUCGUGAAGAAGAUAAAUAGACUGCCCACUCCUGUAGCUGCUCUGGAUAAUGUGGCGCUCUUCCUGAAGGGUUGUUUGGAGUUAGGUUUGAAGAGCUCUCAGCUAUUUGAUCCUGGAGAUCUACAAGACACCUCUGCACGCUCUAACAAAGGCCCAGACAACAACAAGAAGUUAAAAAAUGUUUUGAUCAACAUCUACUGGCUGGGCCGAGCAGCCAAUAGCAGCACCACAUACAACGGGCCCACCCUGGACCUGCACAAGUUUGAGGGAUUGCUGUCACAGAUGAGAAAGGAAGCAGAGGAGUGGGACAGCCCAAAGCGAAGCAUCAGGGACAGUGGUUACAUAGACUGCUGGGAGUCCGAGCGCAGUGACUCUCUCUCCCCUCCGAGGCACAUGCGAAACGACUCAUUCGACAGCCUGGACUCCAUCGGCUCGCGUUCCCAUCAAACCCCCUCGCCUGAUGGCCUGCUUGCCCACGGCUACAGCGAUGGCCGUGGCAGCGACUCAGAGUGCGACACCCCCCAGAGGAAGAUGCCGGACGUGCGCAAGGAUGACAUGCUGGUCCGGCGAACUUCCUGCAGUGAACCCCGGACUGCCAUUCCUUUCAACCAGUAUCUGCCCAACAAGAGUAACCAGAGCUCAUACUUACCUGCACCAGUGCGACGCCCUCGCGCAGAAAGAGAUGACAGCCGCAAAAGCUGGAGUAAUGUAACCUCACCUGUUGGAGGAGAGAGACCUUUCAGAUUUAGCCGCUCAUCUAGUGUUUUUGAUGAUCCAGAGAGUGUGAGCAUGAUUGACAUGAGAAGUGAGGAAGACUCUAUGUUGCCACGCCAUAGUCAAGUUCGACAUGAGCUCAUGCACAACCAGUACAACAAGCUAAAAGAGGAAGAAGACCAUUGGCAGGAUGACUUGGCCAAAUGGAAGAGUCGCAGAAGGAGUGUGUCUCAGGAUCUGAUCAAGAAAGAAGAGGAGAGAAAGAUGAUGGAGAGACUGCUGGAUGGAGAUGGAGGAUCACAGAGAAGGAAAAGUAUCAAGACAUACAGAGAAAUAGUGGAGGAGAAGGAGCGUCGUGAACAGGAGCUGCAUGAAGCAUACUGGAACGCCCGCACACCAGAGGAAGCAGCUUCUGUGCUGCAGCGUUAUGCCCAGCGUUUCACCAUCAGUGAGGCCAUUAUUGAGCGCCUCAAACUCCCCAAGCUACUGGAGAGGAGCGUGUCGGCUGACCCCACUCGUCACUCCUCCCUCCCAGUCUCCCAAGACAUCCCCUUUUCUUUGAGUGCUUCCUCAAACCCACUGCAGUACCUGAGGCAGCAGUCACUUCCCUUGGCCAAAUUUACAUCCACGGUCGAAGCACGGGUGACGGGAUACAGCACAGAGCAUGAAUUUGUAGGAGAUGUGACAGCGCCCUCACUGGGUCCGAAACCUUACAGCAGUGCUACUGCUGAAAUGAGAACAGCUAAGGUGGAUGAAAUAAUGCGCGUGAAUGGAGAAAGGGAGGAUGGCGGCCACAGCAAUGAGAAGGGAGGACCACAGAAACACAAAGAGGCAGAAGAUGAUUCUCUGCAGUUCUUCCCAUCUUCUUACCAGCACACAGACUCAGACAUCACAGAUACUGAUGUGUCAGGGGUCCAGCCUAUGGACCACACACUCUCAUCCAUGUGCACACAAGAGUGGUGCGAGAAAGACAGAGAUACCACAGAGGUUGAAGGUGGGACAGUCCCACAGGUUGGUGAUGUCGCUAUAUCCCCAGAAGUGUUGGAGCUAAAAGCUGAAAAGACAGAUCAAGAGCAGACAGAUGAGACAUAUAUGAGUGACUCUCAACAGGACAUGAUUCAGUUUAACAACUCUGCUGUGCAGGUCAAUAAACUAGCAACUGAGAUCCCACAGAAAUCAACAAAUCAAUCAGAAUCAUCCAACCUAGAAUCAUACGGAACCAAACCAGAUAUGGCAGAAAAAGAUGGAAAUGUUCCUCCCCCAGUGCUGAAUCUGGUGAAGCGGAGUGAACACUUUUCUUGGGACCCUGAGGAAGAGCGCAAGCGUCAGGAGAGGUGGCAGCAAGAGCAGGAACGCAUGCUUCAGGAGAAAUAUCAGUGUGAACAGGAGAAGUUAAAGCAGGAAUGGGAGCAAGCGCAGAAGGAAGUGGAAGAGGAGGAGAGGCGGUACCAUGAGGAGGAGAGGAAGAUUCUGGAAGAGACCCUGACCCCUCACUCAAUGAUUGCACCAUCAAUCUUUCCCAAAACCCACAGCACUUUACAGUCCCAGCCUGAGCCGGAAAACAAACCGGGGUCAGAGGAGAAGCAGAUGAGCUCUGGGACUUAUAGACAAGGGGAAAAUGGCAACAGUGAAGCAGCCCAAAGAAAGACAGAGAGUGUACAGAUGACAGUAAGUUCUCCCCUGCAAGGUUGUGGUUCAGUGAGUCAGAGAAGACAAGGAGACCAGAGCCAAGAAAAGCAGCCUACAUUACCGUCUAGUCAGGAUAUGCCACUGGGUAACAGACAGAUACCCCAGCCUGGAAAUGAGACCUGGAAAAAGAAUGCAUCUCAACCAAAAUCUGCUGGACGCAGGAGGUCUGACUCUAUAGAGAACAUUGGGCCAAAUUCAUCAACAUCACCUUCAUUCACAGAUACACAACCACCUCCAUCACCAAACAGGUCUGUCAGUGGGAAGAAACUGUGUUCAAGUUGUGGUCAUCCACUUGGCAAAGGUGCUGCCAUGAUUAUAGAGACUCUCAGCCUUUACUUUCACAUCCAGUGUUUUAAGGCCUUCACAGCCAGACCGAAGCCUCCUGAUGCAGAGAUCUUGAUGCCCAGGUUGACCGUCAGUGCCCAUUCCUCACAGUACUGUUCCAGCAGGGCCAGGCUGUGCUGGAGACCCUCGGCUGUGGGGGACAGCAGCACCAGGUCGUCCGCAUACAGCAGGCAUUUGACUUCAGAGUCGUGCAGAGCGAGGCCCGGGAUGCUGCAGGAGCGGUCCAGAGCUUCUGCCAGCUCGUUGAUGUAGAUGUUAAACAGGGUUGGGCUCAGACUGCAUCCCUGCCUCACUCCACGACUCUGCUGGAAGAACGCACUUCUGAGAUUCCCAAUUUUGACCGCACAUUUACUGUUUUUAUACAUGGAUUGUAUAACAUCAAAUGUUUUUCCCCCAAUGCCAAUUUGUAAUAAUUUGUAUAGUAAACCAUCAUGCCAAAUGGAGUCGAAAGCUCUCUCUCUCUGUCUCUCUAUCUCUCUCUCUCUCUCUCUAAGUGUGGAAUCUGUAAGGGCCAGUUGGGUGACACCAGCACAGGAACAGAUGUGAGGAUCAGAAACGGUCUACUCAACUGCCAUCAGUGCUAUAUCCGCUCCCGCUCUGCUGGUCAGCCCACAACCUUGUGAGCUCAUUGAUUUUGGGAGCAAAAGUAGUCUACUGUCACCCCCAGUCCUCAUAAUGUUCGCAUAAUUGAUUGCAUAUGUGAAUACAAGCACAUUUAACAUGAAACCACAGCAACGUCUUCAAGUUGGGUUUUCUUUUCCAACACAAAAAAGCAUGUGACUGUAGUGAAAACCAAUUUUCUGACUCAACUGACUGUAUAACUGAUUAAUAAAACUGUGUAAGCUAAAAACGUUUUCAGACAGUGCAUACUCUUUGAUGACAAAUGGACAGUUUGAGCCAUCUAUAGAUAACAAUAAUUAAUAAAGAAUCUGAGCUGAAUUUGUGGGUGGAAUUUCAUAUAUGUAUGUAUGUAUGAUUUUUUGAUGGCUUUUGAAUAAUUAUUUUUUUAGUGUUUUUUUGAGUGGAUUAAAACACCAAAAUCUGUUAAAGAAAAUUAUCAAGAGAUCUGCAAGUUAUGUUGUCUUUAUUUUAUUUAAACAUAACAUGUUAGCAUUUGUAGAGUUUCAAAAUAAAAAGAUCAUCUUUAAUUAUUGGAAUGCAGUUCCUCUAAAUACCCCUGAUCAUUGUAUUUCCUAUCUGGAGGAAAGUAUGUAUUUUUAUACAUAAAAAGUACAUUUGAGCUGAUAAAAAAGACAAGUGCAUGUAAAGUGAUUGCUUAUUAAGAAAACAGCCAUAUUCAUAUAGUAGGGUUUUUUUUUUUUCAUGCAAAUCUCUGUCUUUCAGUUGUUUGAGGGUUUGGGAAGUUGUUGCACUGAAGCAAUGUGCCUUAGGAGAGAUACAACGUCUACAUGAGAAACUUAAGAGUUUGGAUCCAAAUACUGUUUCUACUCUCAGUUUAACCUUUUUCAUAGCACAUUGUAAAUCUUUUUUUCCUGGCAAUUGUAUUAUGCAGAAUUUCAAUAUAUGUAUUGCUCAAACUACAAUACCUUCCUGAAAAUACAUUUUUUCUAAAGCCGACUUUUGUUUUGGCUUUAAAGAUACAUAAAACUGGUUUUGGAAAAACAUACAUAAAAAUGUAUUUAAAAGAAAUAUCUUGUUUUAGUUUCAUUCUGAACAUAAUUGAAUUUAACAUGACAAAGCAAUAUAAACGGUGAUUUAAAAUGAUCAUGAACUGCCCAUCAUAACACGCUCACUGGCUAAAUAUAACACCUUUUUUUGCCAAUGUUAGUAUCUUUGAAUUAUGUACAGAACAGAAGAGCAUAUGAAGUUUUUAGUUUGCUUGUUUUGUUUUUUGUUUUGUUUUGUUUUUGUUUGACCAAGUUGGCCAUUUAAUCUUCUGUCACAAUUGAUUUAUUUAGCCAGUCUUUCUGUGCUUAUAGGGUCUGGUCAUGUAUUUUAUGUUUAAUUCAUCAUAACUUUAGGUUGACACAGGUUAUAUGUUGUUUAGGAGGGAAAUAGUUACCUUGGAAUAUAUAUGUAUUAAAUCUAAGGUAUAUUUAUUGUUUUAUUCAAAUCUACACUAUCCAAAAAUAGAUUAAUUUGAUGUUCAAAUGCAAUGGCUUUCAGUAUAAUGUAUGUUUAUAAAUAAAAUUCUGAAAAAUCUAA